GGCGCGUGCUGCGCCUGCGCGGCGGACAGGUGGGCGUGCGCGGCGGGAGCUGGCCCGGGGUGGACUCUGAGCCCGCGCCUGUGGGGCGGAUGCGGCUCUUCCUGGAGCUGAACGGGAGCCACCGGAGCCCCGGUGCAGGGCCGGAGGGGGAAAGCGCAGGCGAGGGAGUAAAAACACCAAAGCACCAGGGUGGUCCCGGCUUCUCACCUGGUGGGAGGCUGUCGAGAUCCUGACAGUCUACUCUGUCAUGCCUUUUACUUGACAAUUGGAGGAUACUGAAAAGCAAACAAGCAAACGCCCUUGAGGGCUGGCAAAAAGGAAGCACCCUCGGUGCGACCCCUUGCACACAUGCCGCUGUAUGUGUAUCCAGGCAGCUCAGCUUUGGGGUCAUUGGUUCAAGCAACGUUCUCGAGGCCAAAGGUCUGAAAUCAAGGUGUCGGCCCUUCUGGAAGCUCUGAGGGAGAACCCAUCCCAUGCCUCUCUCCAGCUUCCGGUGUCACUGGCAAUCCAUGGCGUUUCUCGGCUGCAACUUCAUCACUCUCAUCUCUGCCUCCACUGUCACGUGGACUUCUUCCCUGUGUGGCUCUGUCUCUGUGUCACAUAAUAAAAACAACACAGAGGGCUUCUCAUCCAGAGCCAAAUCAAAUCUCAGGUUGUCCACUUGAGCCCCUAAUUAUGGCUUGCUCUGCAGGGCUUGCUAUUUGAAAUCUGUUCAUUGAUGAACAUCAACUUCAAACUCAGCCCAACCAUCUGCCCCUGGGAGGGAAGGGAGCAGAGGGAGGAGGGGGAGGCAGAUUGCUGCCUCUCACCUCACGCUCACUGAGAUCCAGCCUCUCGCUGAAUGGCUUGUGGAGUGGGAUUGCUCACCCUUUUAUUUCUUCUCCUUUUCUUGCUCUUUUUUUUUUUUUUUUUAAAUUUUUGGUGACAGAGCUCAAUAGUCGAAGUCUCUUCUUAAGGCAAGUAUCUGUAUAAUGCAGUACCUCUCCUAUACAUUGCACUAUUUCCUUGUCUCUGUCCUUCCCCAGGUCUAGCACUGUUCCCAGACAGCAUACCGCUUCCAGACACUACAUCUAAAAGGACUGUGGACGGAAGGGGCCCCUGCUAACCUGACUAGGUCAGGGGAGGCCUGCGUGGCAGUCUUGCAAACUCAGAGACCUAAAGUAACCACAAAGGAUGGUCUGAAAUUAAACUUUAACUAAAAGCAGUUAUGGUGGGUAGUCACCUCCUAGGCUGGUAUCUUCACUGAUAAGGUCAACCUUUAACUGAGCCUAUCUGUCUUUUUUGCAUCUAUGAUAACAUAUCCUUGAAAUGUCUCAGUAACUUGUAACUUCCCCUUUUCCAGAUCCCUUGGGGCAAUGUGCCUGGGAGCCUGGACAGAUACCACAAAUUCCUUCAGUGUUAUCAUGUUAAUUGUUCCUGCACCCACCUAAAUAUGUGUCCAUCAUUUUAUUUCUUAUCCAAUCCCAGAGGUUUCCAGGUUUUGCCUUCUCCCGCCUCUCUAAUCUGUCACCAGUGGAUUUCACGUAACCCUCCUAUGUCCCCUCUUUGAUGGCAAUGUAUAAAAUAGAUGAGAAACUGCCAUUCUCCGGAGCACUAUUCCAAUCCAUUGAGAUACUGCUUCCUGGCAAUUGUCGACAGUUUGGCUCAAAUAAACUCACAAAAAUUCUUUACAGGUUUGAAUGUUUUUUACGUUAACAGGACCUUGGCCAGGGGAAAAAUUGCUAAAGAAAGGGAGUAAAGAAAGUGUAAGAAGUACCAUCAGUCUUUUCAAAAACAUUUUUAGAUAUUCAUUUUUAAAUUUCAGUUGGCAUUCAAUAUCAUAUUAGUUUCAGGUGUACAACAUAGUGAUUAGACAUUUAUAUACAUCAUGAAGUAAUCACCCUCAUAAGUCUAGUACCCAUCUGACACCAUGAACAAUUAUCACAAUACUAGAGGCCUGGUGCACAAAAUUCAUCCACGGGGAUGGUC